rnacentral:pre_miRNA from 1 species
CGUGCACCGGAGGGGUCCCUCGGCCUGGCCUGCCCCCUCUCGCAAUCCGGGACCACUCGGGGGAUGUCGAAGAGCUGGUUUCGGCCUGAUUCCCACAGGCCAGGCUGAGGGACCCCACCGGUGCACA